rnacentral:tRNA from 1 species
GAAAUAAUGGCUGACUAUAGGCAAUAAAUUGUAAAUUUAUUAAUGAAUUAAUUUCUUAUUUCA